CCCUAUGGGGUGCAGCAGGCGAGAAAACUUUGCAAUGUGCGAAAGCACGACAAGGUUAAUCCGAGUGAUUUCUGCUAAAGGAAUCUUUUACCAGUUCUAAAAAUACUGGCGAAUAAGGGGUGGGCAAGUUCUGGUGUCAGCCGCCGCGGUAAAACCAGCACCUCAAGUGGUCAGGAGGAUUAUUGGGCCUAAAGCAUCCGUAGCCGGCUCUGUAAGUUUUCGGUUAAAUCUAUAUGCUCAACGUAUAGGCUGCCGAAAAUACUGCACAGCUAGGGAAUGGGAGAGGUAGACGGUACUCGGUAGGAAGGGGUAAAAUCCUUUGAUCUAUCGAUGACCACCUGUGGCGAAGGCGGUCUACCAGAACAUGUUCGACGGUGAGGGAUGAAAGCUGGGGGAGCAAACCGGAUUAGAUACCCGGGUAGUCCCAGCUGUAAACGAUGCAGACUCGAUAAUGCACUGGCACAUAGCCAGUGCAGUGUCGCAGGGAAGCCGUUAAGUCUGCCGCCUGGGAAGUACGUACGCAAGUAUGAAACUUAAAGGAAUUGGCGGGGGAGCACCACAAGGGGUGAAGCCUGCGGUUCAAUUGGAGUCAACGCCAGAAAUCUUACCCGGAGAGACAGCAGAAUGAAGGUCAGGCUGAAGACCUUACCAGACAAGCUGAGAAGUAGUGCAUGGCC
rnacentral:rRNA from 1 species